GAUUUCUGGCGGGGACGGCUGGUGGGGCCCGUGAGGGUCUCUACUGACGCCUGGUUCCCGUCAUCCUCGGGGAGAGCGGCCCUGGCAUUAAGUUGUUGGGGUCGGGAUCCUCGUCUUUUACUGUGAAAAAAUUAGAGUGUUCAAAGCAGGCUUAGGCCCUGAAUACAUUAGCAUGGAAUAAUAAGAUAUGACCUUGGUGGUCUAUUUUGUUGGUUUGCACGCCAAGGUAAUGAUUAAUAGGGAUAGUUGGGGGUAUUCGUAUUCAAUUGUCAGAGGUGAAAUUCUUGGAUUUAUGGAAGACGAACUACUGCGAAAGCAUU
rnacentral:rRNA from 1 species